rnacentral:rRNA from 1 species
UACGGGGGGGGCAAGCGUUGUUCGGAAUUACUGGGCGUAAAGGGCUCGUAGGCGGCCAACUAAGUCGGAUGUGAAAUCCCCCAGGCUCAACUUGGGAACUGCAUCCGAUACUGGAUGGCUUGAAUUCGGGAGAGGGAUGCAGAAUUCCAGGUGUAGCGGUGAAAUGCGUAGAUAUCUGGAGGAAUACCGGUGGCGAAGGCGGCAUCCUGGACCGACAUUGACGCUGAGGAGCGAAAGCUAGGGGAGCAAACGGG